UGAGAAGUCUUGUGCAUGAGAAGAAAGUCCAUAUCCUUCCAAGAAAAAAAGAAAGAAAAGUGGGUGCAAGAUUUCCAGUGAGUUCCCUAGAAUUUUAGCCUGGGGUUCGGAAAGUGAGAAAGUGAGCUACGAGUGUCGUGAGCCCACAAAAUCUUAGAAAGAUCUUCAAUAUUCUCUCAAGCAUGUCUGUUGAUGAUCUGGAGCAUCCAAAGAAUCGAUAGACAUUGAUCGAAGGAGUUCGAUCAGCAUCGGUCGUCAAAAGGGCUCUACAACG
rnacentral:lncRNA from 1 species